rnacentral:rRNA from 1 species
CCUACGGGGUGCAGCAGUGGGGAAUAUUGCACAAUGGGGGGAACCCUGAUGCAGCGACGCCGCGUGGGUGAAGGAGUAUUUCGGUAUGUAAAGCCCUAUUAGCAGGGAAGAACAAUGACGGUACCUGACUAAGAAGCACCGGCUAAAAACGUGCAAGCAGCCGCGGUAAUACGUAUGGUGCAAGCGUUAGCCGGAUUUAGUGGGGGUAAAGGGAGCGCAGGCGGCGCGUUAAGCCUGGUGUGAAAUCCCACGGCCCAACCGCGGGACUGCAUUGGAAAAUGGCGUGCGGGUGGGCUGGAGGGGUAGACGGAAUGCCGAGUGUAGCGGUGAAAUGCGUAGAUAUUAGGAGGAACACCAGUGGCGAAGGCGGCCUACUGGACGGUGACUGACGCUGAGGCUCGAAAGCGUGGGGAGCAAACAGGAUUAGAUACCCGGGUAGUC